rnacentral:rRNA from 1 species
CCUACGGGAGGCAGCAGUGAGGAAUAUUGGUCAAUGGACGCAAGUCUGAACCAGCCAUGCCGCGUGCAGGAAGACGGCUCUAUGAGUUGUAAACUGCUUUUGUACGAGGGUAAAUCCCGAUACGUGUAUUGGGUUGAAAGUAUCGUACGAAUAAGGAUCGGCUAACUCCGUGCCAGCAGCCGCGGUAAUACGGAGGAUUCAAGCGUUAUCCGGAUUUAUUGGGUUUAAAGGGUGCGUAGGCGGUUCGAUAAGUUAGAGGUGAAAUCCCGGGGCUCAACUCCGGCACUGCCUCUGAUACUGUCUGGCUAGAGUUUAGUUGCGGUAGGCGGAAUGUAUGGUGUAGCGGUGAAAUGCAUAGAGAUCAUACAGAACACCGAUUGCGAAGGCAGCUUACCAAACUACGACUGACGUUGAGGCACGAAAGCGUGGGGAGCAAACAGGAUUAGAUACCCUAGUAGUC